rnacentral:rRNA from 1 species
AUUGAACGCUGGCGGCAGGCUUAACACAUGCAAGUCGAGCGGGGUGAUGGUGCUUGCACUAUCACUUAGCGGCGGACGGGUGAGUAAUGCUUAGGAAUCUGCCUAUUAGUGGGGGACAACACCUCGAAAGGGAUGCUAAUACCGCAUACGUCCUACGGGAGAAAGCAGGGGAUCACUUGUGACCUUGCGCUAAUAGAUGAGCCUAAGUCGGAUUAGCUAGUUGGUGGGGUAAAGGCCUACCAAGGCGACGAUCUGUAGCGGGUCUGAGAGGAUGAUCCGCCACACUGGGACUGAGACACGGCCCAGACUCCUACUGGAGGCAGCAGUGGGGAAUAUUGGACAAUGGGGGGAACCCUGAUCCAGCCAUGCCGCGUGUGUGAAGAAGGCCUUAUGGUUGUAAAGCACUUUAAGCGAGGAGGAGGCUCUUUUGGUUAAUACCCAAGAUGAGUGGACGUUACUCGCAGAAUAAGCACCGGCUAACUCUGUGCCAGCCGCCGCCGUAAAAC